rnacentral:rRNA from 1 species
CCUGACGCAGCGACGCCGCGUGAGUGAUGAAGGUCUUCGGAUUGUAAAGCUCUGUUAAUCGGGACGAAAGAGCCUAGUGUGAAUAAUGCUAGGAGGUGACGGUACCGGAAUAGAAAGCCACGGCUAACUACGUGCCAGCAGCCGCGGUAAUACGUAGGUGGCGAGCGUUGUCCGGAAUUAUUGGGCGUAAAGCGCGCGCAGGCGGAUCUGCCAGUCUGUCUUAAAAGUUCGGGGCUUAACCCCGUGAUGGGAUGGAAACUACAGAUCUAGAGUAUCGGAGAGGAAAGUGGAAUUCCUAGUGUAGCGGUGAAAUGCGUAGAUAUUAGGAAGAACACCAGUGGCGAAGGCGGCUUUCUGGACUGAAACUGACGCUGAGGCACGAAAGCGUGGGGAGCGAACAGGAUUAGAUACCCUGGUAGUCCACGCCGUAAACGAUGAGUGCUAGGUGUCGGAGGGGAACCUUCGGUGCCGCAGCAAACGCAAUAAGCACUCCACCUGGGGAGUACGAUCGCAAGAUUGAAACUCAAAGGAAUUGACGG